AAGGAGACCAUGACCUUACCUUGGUCUAAACAGAAACAUGCUGGGAAAAGCCCAGCUAAAGGCUUCUUGACAAUUCCUUGAAAAAAGCUGGUAUACAAAAAGUGAGACUCUCUGAACGGAUACUACAGAUGGGAAUAGAGACAAGAAGUUGAAGGCGUGUCUGCUUGGUGGCGGGUGGGCGGG